rnacentral:rRNA from 1 species
UACGUAGGGAGCAAGCGUUGUUCGGAUUUACUGGGCGUAAAGGGCGCGUAGGCGGCAAAUUAAGUCAGCUGUGAAAUCUCCGAGCUUAACUCGGAACUGUCAGCUGAUACUGAUCUGCUAGAGUGCGGAAGGGGCAAUCGGAAUUCCAGGUGUAGCGGUGAAAUGCGUAGAUAUCUGGAGGAAUACCGGUGGCGAAGGCGGCAUCCUGGACCGGCAUUGACGCUGAUGAGCGAAAGCUAGGGGAGCAAACGGG